rnacentral:tRNA from 1 species
GCUGGGGCUCAGUGGUAGAGCACCUGCCUAACGUGUGAGGCACUGGGUUCGAUCCUCAGCACUGCA